rnacentral:rRNA from 1 species
GGGAUGAUGGCUACUCUGUGGGGACCGCCGGUGUUAAAUCGGAGGAAGGUGCGGGCCACGGUAGGUCAGUAUGCCCCGAAUUUCCCGGGCUACACGCGGGCUACAAUGAAUGGGACAAUGGGUCCCUACCCUGAAAAGGGCUGGUAAUCUCACAAACCCAUCCGUAGUUCGGAUCGAGGGCUGUAACUCGCCCUCGUGAAGCUGGAAUCCGUAGUAAUCGCGUUUCAAUAUAGCGCGGUGAAUACGUCCCUGCUCCUUGCA